AACACGUGGGUGAUCUGCCCUGCACUUCGGGAUAAGCCUGGAAACUGGGUCUAAUACCGGAUAGGACUCCUGGCUUCAUGGUUGGGGUGUAAAGCUUUUGCGGUGUGGGAUGGGCCCGCGGCCUAUCAGCUUGUUGGUAGGGUAAUGGCCUACCAAGGCGACGACGGGUAGCCGGCCUGAGAGGGUGAACCGGCCACACUGGGACUGAGAUUACGGCCCAGACUCCUACGGGAGGCAGCAUGGGGAAUAUUGCACAAUGGCGCAAGCCUGAUGCAGCGACGCCGCGUGAGGGAUGACGGCCUUCGGGUUGUAAACCUCUUUCAAUAGGGACGAAGCGCAAGUGACGGUACCUAUAGAAGAAGGACCGGCCAACUACGUG
rnacentral:rRNA from 1 species